UACGGAGGGUGCGAGCGUUGUCCGGAAUCACUGGGCGUAAAGGGCGCGUAGGUGGCGCGGGCAGUCAACGGUGAAAGUUCGGGGCUCAACCCUGAAUCGGCCGUCGAUACUCCCGUGCUUGAGCACUGUAGAGGCAGAUGGAAUUCCGGGUGUAGCGGUGGAAUGCGUAGAGAUCCGGAAGAACACCGGUGGCGAAGGCGGUCUGCUGGGCAGUAGCUGACGCUGAGGAGCGAAAGCGUGGGGAGCGAACAGG
rnacentral:rRNA from 1 species